rnacentral:rRNA from 1 species
CCUAGUGGUGACAGCGGAGAGGAAACACCCGUUCCCAUCCCGAACACGGAAGUUAAGCUCUCCAGCGCCGAUGGUAGUUGGGGCCAGCGCCCCUGCAAGAGUAGGUCGCUGCUAGGC